rnacentral:rRNA from 1 species
AUUGAACGCUGGCGGCAUGCUUUACACAUGCAAGUCGAACGGCAGCGCGGGCUUCGGCCUGGCGGCGGGUGGCGAACGGGUGAGUAAUACAUCGGAACGUGCCCAGUAGUGGGGGAUAGCUCGGCGAAAGCCGGAUUAAUACCGCAUACGACCUGAGGGUGAAAGCGGGGGAUCUUCGGACCUCGCGCUAUUGGAGCGGCCGAUGGCAGAUUAGCUAGUUGGUGGGGUAAAGGCCUACCAAGGCGACGAUCUGUAGCUGGUCUGAGAGGACGACCAGCCACACUGGGACUGAGACACGGCCCAGACUCCUACGGGAGGCAGCAGUGGGGAAUUUUGGACAAUGGGCGAAAGCCUGAUCCAGCAAUGCCGCGUGUGUGAUGAAGGCCUUCGGGUUGUAAAGCACUUUUGGCGGGAACGAAAAGGACUGUGCCAAUACCACGGUUCGAUGACGGUACCCGCAGAAUAAGCACCGGCUAACUACGUG